rnacentral:rRNA from 1 species
UGGUGCCUACGGGACGCAGCAGUGAGGAAUAUUGGUCAAUGGACGGAAGUCUAAACCAGCCAUGCCGCGUGCAGGAAGACGGCUCUAUGAGUUGUAAACUGCUUUUGUACAAGGGUAAACCUGAAUACGUGUAUUCAGCUGCAAGUACUGUACGAAUAAGGAUCGGCUAACUCCGUGCCAGCCGCCGCGGUAAUACGGAGGAUCCCAGCGUUAUCCGGAUUUAUUGGGUUUAAAGGGCGCGUAGGCGGAUUGAUAAGUUAGAGGUGAAAUGUCC